GCCUAACCAAAUACACAAUUAAACUACCAAUUGUCCGCCAAACAACUACGAGUCACACUUAAAACUUAAAAGACUUGACGGUACUUCAUCACGACCUAGAGGAGCCUGUCUGAUAACCGACAAUCCACGAUUAACCCAACCCUUUCUCGCCCAACAGUCUAUAUACCGCCGUCGCCAGCUUACCUUGUAAAAGAAAUAAAGUGAGCCAAACAGUACUGCACUAAAACGACAGGUCGAGGUGUAACCAAUGAAAGGGGUUAAGAUGGGCUACAUUCUCCAACCGAGAAUACGAAUAGCACUAUGAAGCUAGUGCCUGAAGGCGGAUUUAGCAGUAAGAUAGGAAUAAAACACCUAACUGAACACAACGCAAUGAAGUGCGUACACACCGCCCGUCACCCCUGCCACACAACAUUAAAUCUUAAUAAACCAAUAAAAAAGCCAAACAGGGCAAGUCGUAACAUGGUAAGUGUACUGGAAAGUGUACUUAGAAA
rnacentral:rRNA from 1 species